UGGAGAUUACUUCUUGUGAAGAAUACUGUGAGCCUGUAACACUGAUUUAACCCGACAUCCCAGAAGGCCUGGUCCCUGAGAGCCUGGAUGCAAGCAAAUACUGAAAAGCCGUGCCAUUACAAGAGCCCCGAAGACAGGCAAGGAUGCAGAGAGACUCUGAGCAGGACAAGAGGAGAGGAAGCAGCCCUGUUGUGUUGGGAUUGCCAUCUGGCUCUCGGAGAAGGAAAGGCUCCCUUGGUCUUGGUUCUAUAGAGCAGAGGAUGAAUUGGCCCAGAGUGUGAAGACGACAAACUGAUGCAAAUGAUCAUAAGGAAUGGAAUUCCUGAUAUCUACCAAUCAAGAAAACAAAAAUAUAGGAUUUCAAGAAAGCAAACGUCAUUAUUUGGAGAACUGAGAGGCAAGCUAGGCUGAUAGAGAAAGGGGGGUCAGAAGGAAGUUCUGUGAAACGCUGUCUCGAAGAGAGAAACGCUUUAUUUUCAGAGAAAGAGAUACAGGAAGUGUUGUGAGAAACCACUUGUGCUAACUCAGGAGUUUUUCAGUGACCUGAAAAUUAUUUGGUGUAGAAAGUAGGUCAAGUUACUAAAAAAGGUAUGUGUAAGUCUAGCACAAACCUACAAGGGCAAAAUCGGGAAGGACGAUGCAUAGGAAAAAAAAAAAAACAAUUGACACAGAAUGAAACAAGAAGCAGUAGGAAAAAUAUGUGGAAGGACAUUUGCUAAAAUGUGCAGGCAAGAAAGGAAAGAGGCUCACUUCUAAGGAAAGAGAAGGUUAAUGUUAUGUGUAGAGAGGAAACAAGGACUUCUGAGCAGGGAAGAAUUUGGUAGAUAUUAUGAUAUUGGCUCUAUCUUCUGACUUACCGGGGAGUCUCAUAACCAAAUUAAGGAAGCACUCUUAUUGAAACUCCUGUGAAAUUGUAAAGCUGGCUGGAAAUCCAUAUUUCUACAGAGAAUUAAAAGUAAAUUCAUGCUAGGGUUUCUCCAUAGUUCAGUAUUACGCAAUAUUUGAGGGCUUGGACAUGAAGCAAUGCAACUCUUGAACAGAACAUAACUGCAGUACAUGGCCGGACUUCAAAAAGAUAUUGAAAAACUGAAAUGAUCUGAAAUAAGUAGUACAAUAAGUAGGUAGUAAAACUCACUGUACCAACACAAGAUGAGAGAAGCAGAACAAAGCACCUGUAUAUUAGUAAAGACUGUGGGGUACACAGGAGGCACAUGACCUAUGUCAGUGAUGCUGAGCUACUGAGGGCACUCAGAUUUGCAGCAGGAUGUUGAAACAGGAUUUGUGUGGAAGAUGUGUUAAGUAAUCCUUUUGCCCUGUUUAUCACUGGCAACAUCUCAGCUCUGCUUGAAGAAACACAGGGUCAAUUUGCAGAGCAGAAGCAGCAAGAUACAAAAUUGUUCUGCAGGCCAGGAAAAUAAAUUGUCCUAAAAAGUGCCUGAACAGCAUAUUUAGGUUAAAUAACACCAGUUUCAAGCUGUGGGAAUGCCAGAGGCUGUCUGCCCUUGGAGGCAGGUUGAGCAGUGCUGGGAAGGUAUGCUGAGUCUGCCCUGGGGCAGGGGCAAGGUGUCCUGUGGGUCACAUUCCAUACUUCCAUGAUAGCUUAAAUCCUCCCUGAAUAGAAAGAUGUAGCAGAGAGGUUUUUCAGAACUGACAUUUUCCCCGUUAAAAUCAUAACUGCAUCUGUAAGAGAAGUGACCAGAAUACCUAAUGACUCAUCCUGAUAAAAAUAUCUUAAGAAGCAGAAAAAUGAGAGCACUUAACAUCAUCUAAUGCUGUCUUGAGGGGCAUAGGAACAGAUGUUUUUUGCAAAAGGGCUAGUUCUUGAAAACCAACCUAUUUCAGACAUAAACAAUGCAUCUAUUACUCCGAUGUUUCAAAGACCAGAAACCAUUUAUCUGCGUAUGCUUUUAAACUGAAAGUAUUGGCUCAACAGUGUUCAUUCCAAUUAAAUAUAGGCAAUAAUUAGAAAAGACAGCGAUCUAUCAAGGCAUCAGCUUGAUGAGGUCUUUAAAUCUAGUGAGUGGGUACCCUAACUCUGCCACAUCAAACAAACCCCAGAACAGCCCCAUGGAAAAGCCUGAGAAAACUCAAAUGCUGAGCCAUGCCUGU